UGCUGACCUCUUUCUUGAUCUCCUCAAUCGCUACAGUGAUUUCCAAUGCCUUUUUUCUCUCCCCAAUGUAAUGCCUCUUCCUCUUCCCGAAACACUCUCUUUCUCAGACACACUCUCUUCUUCUUGCUAUUCCUUCCUCGUCAUGGAGACGCGAGUGUUGUCUGGCGCUGGAACCUUGUCCUCCCUCCCUCACCUCCAUAAACCGCCGCGGGAGGUCGGCGCCGACCCCUCCCUCGGCGUCGGACCCUCCCUCGUCGCCCCUCCCUUGUUCCCCUGUCUCCAUAACCAACCAACCAUACAUUAACACCAACACGGAACCUUGCUCACUCGCUCUCUUCACAAUUUCGAGAUCUGAAAUCGAAACUGAAACCGAAACCGAAGAGAGAGAGAGAAAAAAAUGAGGGAGCCAUCACCGGUGGGAUUCGAAGGCAACGACGUUGUUCCGCCGCAAGCUCUCCUCCAGAGACUGAAAGACUACGAUCAAGAACACGCUUUCGCCCUCUGGUAUGAGCUCUCUUAGGAGGAACGCGAGUUUCUCGUCAAGGACAUUGAGAGUUUAGAUCUUUCAAGAAUUGACCGGAUUAUUCAAUGUUCGCUGCGAUCUCAAGGACUGCCGGUGGUGGCCAUUGAGCCUGUGCCGGAGAGCAGUGUGUCGACGGUGGUGGAGAGAAGUCAAGAGGAUCGAGAGAGAUGGUGGAAAAUGGGAUUGAAGGCCAUUUUUGAUGGCAAAUUAGCUGUGUUGCUUUUAUCUGGUGGCCAGCAUAAGCUUUAACCUUGAGCUAGCGUAUACUAGUGCCAAAGAAUGGUAUGGGAGGAUAGCUGCAUUUAGCUGAUGCUGCAUAGCGUGGAUUUUAGGCUGCAUUGCUUGGGAAAACAUUGGUACAUAGAACCAAAUGGACUGGAGAUGCUUCUUCAAGCCCAAAACUCCCGUCCAAACUCCACAAAAACACAAGAUUCAAGAUAUCAUCAAUUGAAAUUACGGAUGCUAUCAAAGCUGGAUUGGAUGAACCUAUUCAGCCAGAGCCUGAGGAAGAACACUGCUUUGGGAGAACCAGCAGCUAAGGAGCACGGAGACACGAGAGUGGAGUUUGUAGCAGGAGAGGUCACCAAGCUCAAAGCCGUAGUAGAUGAGCUCGUUGCACAAUCUUUGCAGAACCAGAAUUAGAUGGAGGUGAUGCACAAGGAAGCCGCUGAUAAUCAGACGCGGCUGCUCAAUCUCAUGUCGACCUUUUCGAAGGGACUUAAGGAAGAGGGCGAAGGUUAGGCAUCAGUGAAACAUGGGCAACCAAGUACUGAGACAGGGAAAUCUAGUGGGAAUCCGAGACUGAAACCACUCAAACGCGAUGAUUUGCUGGAGUUUCAUCAAUUGAUGAAGAAAAUCGAACUACCUUCAUUUUACGGUGAUGACCCAGUAGGGUGGAUUGUGAGGGCCAAAAUCUAUUUCAGCGUUCAAGAAACACGCGAAGCUGUUCAUGUGAGCCUUGCUCAACUCUGUAUGGAAGGAGGUACGAUACACUUUUUUCAUUCUCUGUUGAAUAAGUAUGAAAAUUUGUCAUGGGAGGAUUUGAAGAGGGAGAUGUUGGAGCGGUAUGGUGGAAGGGGAGAAGGAAAUGUUUAUGAUCAAUUGGCAUCGUUGAAGCAAUCAGGGAGUAUGGAGGAUUACAUUCGUAGCUUUGGAUGUUUGAUUGCCCAGGUGCCUCGAAUGCACGAUGAGUAGUAUUUUUUGUACUUUACCCAGGGAUUGAAGGACGAAAUCCAUGCGAGAAUGCGAAGCCUGCACGUCGCGAAUCCUUUGACCAGGGGAUGAAUGAUGAACGUUGCUUUGCAAUUGACGUAGAAAUCUCUGGACAAAGCAGAGUGUGGCAGGGAAGAGGCGAAAUAUAUGGAGAUGGUAGGGCCCAAACCAGAAACCGACCCAUUUCCAGUAUUUUAGGUAAAACUGGCCUGCAGUAGAAUAAUGGAAAUUGGGGAGGAAAUAGGCUAGACCCAAGUGGAAAAAAUGAUGGGGGUGAGAAAAGAAAAAAUGGACCCAAAGAUAUAGGGGCUCGUCACCUUUCCUAUCAAGAGCUGCUGAAUAGAAAACAAAGGGGAUUGUGUUUUAAGUGUGGAGGGUCAUUUGGACCACUCCACCAGUGCCCCAUUAAACACCUCCGGGUCAUAAUGAUUAAUGAGGAGAUUUGAGUUAAAUGCGAAGAAAACGAAAAAAAUAUCAAAGGAGAUGCUACAGAGGAUGAUAGGGAUGUCGAAGGGGCCUGUACGACAUUGAGUCUCUGUUCGAUGAAGAAGAAGGAGGAGGAACAACCACGAACGAUGAAGUUGUGAGGUAAGGUGGGUGGAAUUCCAAUACUGUUUUUGGUUGAUAGUGGGGCAAUCCAUAAUUUUAUAUCACGGAAGCUAAUUGAAGCUCUGGGUUGGAAGUGGGAGAGAACAAAACAGAUGAGAAUUUUGAUGGGGGAUGGGCACAAAUCUGAAAUGCAAGGCGUAUGUCGUGGGAUUAAGGUGGAGUUUGAUGAAAGGGAAUUUGUAAUUGAUGUUUUCCUCUUCAAAUUGGAGGACAUGGACGUGAUAUUGGGAAUGCCAUGGUUGACCACCUUAGGGGAAACCUUGGUGGAUUGGAAAAAUCAGGUGAUGAAAAUCAAAACAGAUCAAGGAGAGAGGUGGUUAAGAGGAGUACCCCGUGAAGAUUCGUUGUUGGUGUCAAUGUUUGGCCUGUUGGAGGAAAAAGGGGGAAGUGAAGAGAAUGGAUUGAGCCAAGAACAAAGACGUGUCCUAGAUGAGGUGUUGCAGAAUUUUGUUGAUGUAUUUGUUGAACCAAAGGGGCUGCCACCUGUACGUGCAAAGGAAUACAGGAUCAUCCUUUAACUAGGGCAAGGUCCCAUUAAUGUUAGACCAUACAUGUAUGCAUAUCACCAAAAAAAUGAAGUUGAGAAACAAGCUAAGGGAAUUGAUGGAGGUGGGUCAUGUGAGGCAUAGCCAGAGUGUAUACUCCAGCCCGAUCAUUUUGGUGAAGAAGAAAAACAACAAAUGGCGGAUAUGUGUGGAUUAUAGAGCACUAAAUAAAGCCACCAUACCUGACAAAUUUCCUCUUCCAGUGAUAGAAGAGCUCUUGGAUGAGUUAUAUGGGGCCAGGUUCUUCUCAAAGCUAGAUCUUCGUUCAGGCUACCAUCAAGUAAGGAUGAGAGAGGAGGAUAUUCCAAAAACGACUUUUAGGACACAUGAGGGUCACUACGAAUAUCUCGUAAUGCCUUUUGGGCUUAUGAAUGCCCCUUCUACUUUCCAAGAACUCAUGAAUGAAGUCUUUCGUGCUUUGCUAAGACAAGGAGUAUUGGUGUUCUUUGAUGACAUACUUGUAUAUAGUAGAAGCUGGGAGAAACAUGUGCAAUUACUAGAAACGGUGUUGGGGGUGCUGAGGGCCAACAUGUUGUUUGCUAACAAGGAAAAGUGCACCUUUGGGCAGGAAAGCAUUGUGUACUUGGGCCACAUUAUAUCAAUACAAGGAGUUGCAAUUGAUCCUGUCAAGGUCAGUAGUGUUGUUGAGUAGCCUGUCCCUAAGAAUGUAAAGGGGGUUCGCGGGUUUCUAGGACUUAUGGGAUAUUAUCAUAAAUUCAUCAAGGAUUACGGUAAGAUAGCCAAACCCCUCACUGAGUUGACAAAAUAAAAUGGUUUCAGUUGGAAUGAAAAGGCUCAAGCAACUUUUGAGGAGCUUAAGAGGAAGAUUACCACAACAUCGGUGUUGCAAUUACCAAAUUUUGAUGAAGAGUUUUCUUUGGAGUGCAAUGCAUCUGGGACAGGAAACCAGUUUCUUAUUACAGCAAAGUGUUGAGUCCCUAUAAUUUAACUAAGUCAGCUUAGGAACGAGAAUUGAUGGCGGUAGCACUGGCAAUACAGCACUGGUGGCCUUACCUUCUGGGGCGAAAAUUCAUUGUGUUCUCAGAUCAGAAAAGCCUCAAACAAUUACUACAACAACAUAUCAUAACUGGAGGGCAGCAAAAUUGGUUGGCAAAGCUCUUAGGGUAUAAUUUUGAGAUAAUUUAUAAGCUUGGAAAGGAGAACCGACAAGCUGAUGCUCUGUCCCGUAGUAGAGAAGAAAUGGAACUGAACAAUGUGAUUUACUUCCCGGUAUGGUUGGAUUGGCAAGAAAUCAAUGCUGAGGUGCACACAGAUGAGAAGUUAAGAAAAAUAAUCGAAGAAGUGAAGAAAGGACAGGGGGAGAAGAUCAAUGUUGGAUUUGUAUAUAAACAAGGGGUACUUUAUUAUAAAAAUCGCCUCGUCAUCCCAGAGAAAUUAGCUUGGAUUCCAAAAUUUCUGGAAGAAUUCCAUGCUACUCCUGAAGGUGGUCAUUCUGGUUUCUAUCGCACAUAAAGAAGAAUAGCGGCAAAUUUAUAUUGGAGGGGAAUGAAGGCAGACGUUCAGCAGUUUGUCCAAGCUUGUGACACAUGCCAAAGACAAAAAUAUGUUACAGCGGCCCCUAGUGGUCUCUUGCAGCCAUUACCAAUUCCGGAGAGGGUUUGGGAAGAGAUUAGUAUUGACUUCAUCAAUGGCUUACCAAGAUCUAGAGGAUUUGAAGCAAUCUUGGUGGUAGUAGAUCGUUUGACGAAGUAUUGCCAUUUUGUGCCCCUUAAACAUCCUUAUAUUGCAAAGGCUCUUGCUGAAAUUUUAGUGAGGGAGGUAGUGCAACUCCAUGGAGUUCCAAAUUCUAUUGUGAGUGAUCGAGACCCUUUAUUCACGAGUUUUUUUUGGAAAGAGUUCUUUAAAAUGCAAGGAACCAAACUGAAAAUGAGCACAGCCUACCAUCCGUAAACGGAUGGACUGACUGAGGUAACAAAUAGGUGCCUUGAAACAUAUCUAUGAUGCUUCAUCACUGACCAACCCGAAACUUGGUUGAUUUGGAUGCCUUGGACUGAGUUUUGCUUUAACACAACUUACCAUGGAUCUAUAGGAAUGACUCCUUUUGAAGCGGUGUAUGGAAGACAACCACCCAAACUUGUUCUAAUGGUUCAAGGGGAAGUGAGAGUAGAGGUUGUCCAACAGGAUUUUAUCGAGAGGGAUGAAGCCUUAAGGCAGUUGAAAUCUCAUCUACUUCGAGCUCAGGACAGGAUGAGAGCUCAAGCAAAUAAGCAUCAAAAGGAGAGGUAUUUUGCUGUGGGUGAUUUCAUAUUUCUGAAGCUGAAACAGAACAUACAACAUUUUGUAAUGAAUAGGGUCAAUCCCAAGCUGAGUGCUAAAUUUUAUAGGCCUUUUGAGGUUGUGGAGAAGAUAGGGGAAGUGGCAUAUCAUUUGAAAUUGCCACCAUCUUCAAAAAUUCAUCCGGUGUUCCAUGUGUCCUUAUUAAAAAAGGCUGUGGGGAAAUACAAGGUGGAGGAGGUUCUUCCUAUUGGGCUGGAGGAUGAUAGAGCUGAAUUAAUGACACCCAAGGCUAUCUUGGCUACUAGGAACAAUACAAAAAGGGGGGGAGACCAAAAAACAACUGUUGAUACAUUGGAAGGAGCAAGUUGUGGAUGAGGCUACGUGGGAGGAUGAGGUUACCAUUCACAGCCAGUUUCCAGAAUUUGGCCUUGAGGACAAGGCUUUAUUUCAAGAAGAAGGUAUUGAUACAGACCCAAAUGCUACUGGGCCUAGAGAGCCCUUGAUCCAAGAAGAGAAAGGUAAGAAUAGGUGGGGUAGGGUGUAUGUGAGGAAAAAGCCUAGGAAUGAUGAUGUGGCACAGUAGGAGAAAUAAGUUCGUUAGAAGAGGGAGAAAAAGGAGUAUUAGCUGUUACAAGUAGGAGGAAGGGAGGAUUCGAGGAUCAUUCUGUUUUCUUGGUUGAUAUUUUGGGGAGGGAGCCUUUAUGGCUACUUCUUAGGAGCCAAGCUCUAGGUAAUAGGAUAUUUCUAUCCUUCUGUAUUUUCUUGGUUUUCAAUAAAUAAAAUACAGUUACUUUUUCUCUAUAUUUCUUGUGUCUUGAUUUCUGCAUUUUCAAUAUCCAUCAGUUUCCAUAUAUAAUGAUAUACCCGUUAGUGAAUCUACA